rnacentral:rRNA from 1 species
AGUAUGUGGUUUAAUUCGACGCAACGCGCAGAACCUUACCUAGACUUGACAUCCCGGGGAUUUUCUGGAAACAGAGAAGUGCUUUAGCAAUAAAGAACCCGGUGACAGGUGCUGCAUGGCUGUCGUCAGCUCGCGUUGUGAAAUGUUGGGUUAAGUCCCGCAACGAGCGCAACCCUUAUCCUUUGUUGCCAGCGGUCCGGCCGGGAACUCAAAGGAGACUGCCAGUGAUAAACUGGAGGAAGGUGGGGAUGACGUCAAGUCAUCAUGGCCCUUACGACCAGGGCUACACACGUGCUACAAUGGCGCAUACAAAGAGAAGCGACCUCGCGAGAGCAAGCGGACCUCAUAAAGUGCGUCGUAGUCCGGAUUGGAGUCUGCAACUCGACUCCAUGAAGUCGGAAUCGCUAGUAAUCGUGGAUCAGAAUGCCACGGUGAAUACGUUCCCGGGCCUU